GACAGAGGAUGCAAGCGUUAUCCGGAAUGAUUGGGCGUAAAGCGUCUGUAGGUGGCUUUUUAAGUCUGCCGUCAAAUCCCAGGGCUUAACCCUGGACAGGCGGUGGAAACUACCAGGCUGGAGUACGGUAGGGGCAGAGGGAAUUUCCGGUGUAGCGGUGAAAUGCGCAGAUAUCAGGAAGAACACCAAUGGCGAAAGCAGCUUUCUGGGACGGUACUGACGCUGAGACGCGAAAGCGUGGGGAGCGAACAGG
rnacentral:rRNA from 1 species